UACGGGGGGGGCAAGCGUUGUUCGGAAUUACUGGGCGUAAAGGGCUCGUAGGUGGCCAACUAAGUCGGACGUGAAAUCCCUCGGCUUAACCGGGGAACUGCGUCUGAUACUGGAUGGCUUGAGUUUGGGAGAGGGAUGCGGAAUUCCAGGUGUAGCAGUGAAAUGCGUAGAGAUCUGGAGGAACACCGAUGGCGAGGGCAGCCCCCUGGGCUAACACUGACGCUCAUGCACGAAAGCGUGGGGGAGCAAACAGG
rnacentral:rRNA from 1 species